UCUGCUUUUCUUCUCGCUCUUUCGUAAGACAUGGGCGCACGAGGAGGGCCAGUCUGCCACAGUCUAGUUCUGCCCGUGUUGUUGAUUUUUAGCCUUGUCAUCAGAGGGAAGGUAUCCUGCCUGACGUUGGUUCAUUCUUGUUUUCGAGAAGUGCUAAACUUCAUCGUCUCGUCGUCAUCGUCGUUUCGGUUUGGAGCAACCACUGGACUGAAAACCAAAAUUGACUUUCGUACUUUGCGCACGUCCGCUACCAGCUGAACACAAUGAAGAACUUCGUUUUCAACGUGAUUGUUUUGUCAGUGUUGUUCACUUAUGGUGUUGAUGGCCAAUGCUACGACUGUGUUCUCACCAGCUUUGGUGAUGUGAAGAUAGGAGAAGAAGGUUGUGGGAAUCCGUUCGACAGCAGUGGGAUCCAGACUACACCGUGUGGAGGACCUUGCGUAACAAUCUAUUCGGAAACUGAGGAAGACGAGGACAUGCCUGCAACAACUACAGUGAUGCGAUCUUGUCACCGAGAUGUUGAAGGUGUACCCUGUAUUGACUUGACGGACUUUGAAUUUUCGGGUAUGACACUGAGUCAAACCUGCUGCAGUGGUGCUCUGUGUAACGAUAAUGAGGUUGGCGGUGGUGCAAGUGCAAAUAAUGUCGCAGUUUAGACCUAGAGUCUCAAUUUCAUGACGCAUGAUGGCGCUUCAUAUAGAAAAGGGCCAAAUUUACGAUUCAUUCUGCAUAGCACAGACAGAUAGGAGUCGUUGAAAGUGAGGUGAUGUUCAUCGUUAAACACGUGGCCUUGUGAAGCGUUGUCUGUGUACGGCAUGGGGCUCUGGCCGUCUCUCAUGCUAUUCAGACAGGCCUGAAGUUAUACACUUUUUUAGUUUAAAUCCUUCAUUCAGCGUUAUUAAAACUAAGGCAAUGCAUGUUAGAUAUAGAUUUGCAUGUCUGUUUUAGUGAUACUUUUCAGUAAAUUGUACUAUGGAUUCUGCUCGAUGAACGAGGAUUAACAAACACAAAUUAAACAUUAAAAUGACUCUUCAAAUCAAACAUCAAACAAUUUGGGAUUAGGCCUAGUAUUUAAAAUGAAUAUCCGCAAAAAGAAAAAAUGGCCAUCUUGAAGUGAAAUUGACAUGAAAUUAAAUAUACUUGUUGAUAAAUGUUCGGCUCGAGAAUUACUUCGCCACGCACAAUGUAUAUGAAAUAAGCGUCUUCAGAGGUUCCGGUUUGCAUUUCAACGUCUGGAAAAUCUAAUUCCUAAAGCUUCCGAUCAAUGAAUUCGAGCAAAGAAUGGUGUAGUGCUUUGGAAAAUGAGAGACUGAAAAAUGUUCGUAAUUUUUUAUUUAUUCGUUUAUUUCUUUGGUUUUUAAACUUUACCAGUGCUUGUGUGCAAAAGUACAUGUAAAGGUGACGAAAAACUGUACGGAAAUAUUACGUUUUCAAGGUUAGCUUCACCUGCCGAUGUGGUAAAUGUAAAGAACGACAAUCUACAGUCAUUGUUGCAAAGAUGUUCGGUAACAGGUGAUAGUUUUAGUUUUAACACAAGUGUUUAUAUGCAGCUGAUAUUUGGUAACGUCAGUGGGUUCAAUUCAAGUAUUCAAACCGGGCUAGAAACACUUAUACCCAUUAUUGCCUCGUAACAAUCUUGUUUAUCAAAAUGUUUAACCAAAAUGGCGGUUCAUUGUCUGUGCAGUACAAUGUUAAUUCUCUGUGUGCAUUGACACAUAAUCAACAAUUUUGGUUCCAAUAAAAAACAAACAAAAUCAA
rnacentral:misc_RNA from 1 species